AAGAGCCUUCACUGUACUCCAGAUUCUGCUCUUAGCACUUUGAAUAUAGCCACCCAUUUAACCCUCACAACAAUCCUCUGACGUAGAUGUACUAUUAUCAUCUGCAUCAAUUUCCUAGGGCUAUCAACAACAAACUACCACAAACUUGGUGACUUAAAGCAAUAGAAACUUAUUCUCUCACAAUUCUGGAAGGCAGAAGUCCAGAAUCAAGGUGUCAACAGGGCCAAAGGCUCUGGAGGAGAUUUCUUUCUUGCAUCUUCCAGUUUCUGGUGGCUCCUGGUAUUCUUUGGCUUGUGGCUACGUCUCUCCAAUCACUGCCUGCACACGGCCUUUUCCCCUGUGUCUGUGUGUGCUACAUUUCCCUCUCUUUUCUCUUAUAGGACACCAGUGAUUGGAUGUAGGGCCCACCCUAAAUCCAGAAUGAACUCAUCUCAAGAUCCUUAAUUACAUUAGCAAAGACCCUUUUUCUAAAUAAGCUCACAAUUUACAGCCCUUUUCCUGGAAAUUAAUGCAGCUUAUUAUGCUUCACAUUGGAAGAGGCAAAGAGCCAUAGCCUCACACCUUUCCAUGAAUUAUUCUAAAGUUGGCAGCAGACUACCUAAAUGAAAAAGCAACAGCAAAACAACACCCAGAGGUUACAGGAGCUGGGAUCUUGAACUUGGUGGUUUGGGAACCAGGUUUUGCUGCUGACAGUACACUGGAAGCCAGAAUCUAGGACUGAGCCUGGCUUGGAGAUCAAUGGAGUUGGCCUGGAACAAGAAACCCUCUCGAAUACAAUUUGUGACAAUAGAAGGGAGUUUUCCAGCCAGUGCAGCCUGUGCAUCAGGAGACACAGAGACAGAAUCAAAGAAGAGCUGAGUUUUGGCAAUGGAAGAGAAAUCAGGGAGGAUGACUUCCACAGUGGCUGCCCAGUCAUGUGGGCUGGCACUAUGCCCUCAUCAAAGCAGUUCCUGCCAGCUUAUAUGCAGCAAUAGAGUCUGUUACCUGUGUUUUCUGACUUCUCCAAAUGGGCCUGUCAGCCCCUAUCACCCCAGAUAACCUAACCCAGUCCUUGUCACCUAUGCCUCACACAUAUCCCUCCCUUAGGCUUAAACUCCCAGUAACACACCCCAUCACUAUCUUGUCCUGUGGGAAUGGAGUGGCAUGAGUCUUGGAGCCCUGUAGACCCUGAUGCUUGAAUCCUAACCCCACUCUGACAUCCAGCUUUACUUCUUUCCCCAAGUAACUCUUUCCUUCCAUUGUCUGCCAGCUCCAAGAGAAAGAGUAUUAGGCCUAGGGGUGCUUUCCAACAGGCCCUGAGUGUUUGGGGUGUACAUCAAAUGUUUUCUGGGGGAACAGCAAGUCAAAUGCCGUAUGCAACUCAGAAGGCCAUACAAGUACAGAACCUCCAUAUCCUGGGUCCACCAAGGCCUUGGAGUGACUGGGGAAUGAAACUAGAAUCCUCUUCCAGGCCUUCAAACCCCACACUUAGUCCCACUGUCUGCACGAGACAUCAGAGCUUACAGAAGUCCCCUUGUCUCUGAGGUUGGCCAGAGGAACAAGCUGCUAGUGAGUAUCAGUGCUAGAAAUGCUGGCAACAAGCAGCAUAGGACACUUUUUUUUUUUUGAGUUUUAUUUUUUUAUUUUUUUAAUAUGAAAUUUAUUAUCAAAUUGGUUUCCAUACAUCACCCAGUGCUCCUCCCAAUACAUAGGACACUUUUAACGCUCCUAUAAAGCAUGUGUAUUCUGAGGAACUUACACUCCUGAGCAGCUGGGGCUACAUCUGUAAAUGUCACACAUAAUGAGCUGUUCCAAGAAAGAUCCAGGAAUACAAAAAGCUUGAUUUCCUGGCUCCAGUGCCUCCCCUUGGAAACCUUCUCCUCUGAGGACAAUUUGGCAAAAGGUCAAAUUGGUACCUUGACCUUUACACACACACACACACACACACGCACGCACGCACGCACGCGCGCAUACGCACAGAGAGAGAGAGAGAGAGAGAGAGAGAACAAGAAAAUCACUUGGUUAUAUUAAGCAUCCCAUCACAUUCCUCUCUCAGGAAGGCAGGAUAUAGUAAUCAGAAACAGACAAAAAGAAAAAAUAAUUGACAAGGCACCUGUUUUUUUUACAUAGAUCUACUUCUUUCUAACUCUCUUGCAGGUUCUCUUGCUGUUCUAUUACUUGGUAACCAAUUGCCCCAGCUCCAAAUCUGUUCCUCCUUUCCAUAAUCAUAAUAUCUAGAAGUUGAGUUCCCAAGGCAACCACAAAUAUUUGUUAUUCUUUCUGCCAUGUGAUUUUCCCUAAAAAUAAACUCAGAUAUUUUUCCUACCA